UGGCUUAUUUAGAUCUGGAGUACAAUUGUGUAUAAAAGUCCGCCCUCAAGAAGGCCUUAUUCCGACCUUUGCAAGGCAGCGAACAAUCAAAGCAAGCUCUAGUUUUAGGAUCACAGGUGAAGGAUGAGGAAACUUUCGCUUGUUCUUCUCAUCGUGCCGGCUAUAACGGCCAUUGCGUGGGCCGAGCCUUGUGAUAUCGACAAUAUCAAAUAUGAGGUCAGAGAAAUAGAAGAUGAUGAUAAAGAAGGGUUUGUUGACGAAGCCGAACCCGAAGAACCCACGGCCAGAGAUGAAGAUAAAGAUCAUGACCCUAUUGCCCUUGAUGACGACAUUCAAAACAGUCCGUAUCUGAGAUCUAGUAAUCGUCGUCGUCGUUCUGGUCGUUAGGAUCGUCUUUUUUUGUUGAUGUUCAUGCAACUGUUAUCACCUGAUAUAUAUCCGUCCAUUAUAUAUUCUCAUAAAACGUAGCUAUGUAUGAGUUUAUGUAAAACCAAUUUCACAUAUAAAAGUGCAAUAUUAAAAUCUGCUUCUCUAGCAAAAAUAAAAAAAAAACUAUACCCUGCUA